rnacentral:rRNA from 1 species
GAUGAACGCUAGCGGCAGGCCUAAUACAUGCAAGUCGGACGGUGUCUUCGGACAUAGUGGCGCACGGGUGCGUAACACGUAUGCAACCUACCUUACAUUGGGGGAUAGCCUUUCGAAAGGGAGAUUAAUACCGCAUAAGACAGUAGCUGGGCAUCCAGCAGCUGUUAAAGAUUUAUCGAUGUAAGCUGGGCAUGCGUCCAAUUAGCUAGUUGGUGGGGUAACGGCUCACCAAGGCAAUGAUUGGUAGGGGAACUGAGAGGUCAAUCCCCCACACUGGCACUGAGAUACGGGCCAGACUCCUACGGGAGGCAGCAGUAGGGAAUAUUGGGCAAUGGACGCAAGUCUGACCCAGCCAUGCCGCGUGCAGGAUGAAGGCGUUAUGCGUUGUAAACUGCUUUUAUACAGGAAGAAACGACUCUUGCGAGAGGCAUUGACGGUACUGUAUGAAUAAGCACCGGCUAACUCCGUGCCAGCAGCCGCAGUAAAAC